CGCACGACUCUCGGCAACGGAUAUCUCGGCUCUCGCAUCGAUGAAGAACGUAGCGAAAUGCGAUACUUGGUGUGAAUUGCAGAAUCCCGUGAACCAUCGAGUCUUUGAACGCAAGUUGCGCCCGAAGCCAUCAGGCCAAGGGCACGUCUGCCUGGGCGUCACG
rnacentral:rRNA from 1 species